rnacentral:misc_RNA from 1 species
AGAAUACUUUGACCUAUCAAUUUUAUAGAAUUGAAAACUAAGAUAAUUCAAAGGUAGAAUUAAAGAUUCUUGCCACAAAGUUUAUAAUCAAACAAGAACCAAGAAUAUCAAGAUUGUUAAACCCUACAAAAUUAAUCACUCUUGAAGAAUUAGUUUAGUUUAAAAAAAAAAAACUUAGGAAAAAUCACUCUCUUGUAUUAAUUUAAUCAAA